AGCCAAGACAGUGAGCCUGGCACCCACGGUGCUCCGGUUUCCAGAAAGAAUCACGAAUACUCUUCCUGUGCAGAUAAAGGAACAAUUGUACUACAGGAGAACUUACUGGAAAGUAACGUGGGGUCACCAGGAAGGAAAAGGAAUUCACUCCUCAGUCACAGUCUUCAGUCUGGUUGGGAGUCACUCAGACUUGGAAAGGUGGACUCUGAUCCUUCUGAGGUCUUGGACUGCAUUGAGCAACCUGGGGAUGCCCCGGAGCCUUUAACUCGUUACCACCCCUCGCAAGUUCACCUCACCACACGCGACUAUGUGAAGCCCCAAGCUGAGGCUGCCAGCAGCUGUAAGCAAUAUGGUCUGCGUCGUUGCUCAUGGCAGGAACUUUGAGCUGGGACACAGUUUCACUCCGUAGAUGUAUUUCUCCUCUGAGGGAAGCCUAACACCCGAGCUGACCUUGCCCCCUUCUGAAAGGGAGGACCAUAUCUCACAGUGGCAACAGGAGGCUACAGGUGCCACUCCAUAAGCUGCAAAGGGAGAUUUUGGCCACAAGGAGGACCGAGCAGAGACCUGAAGAUGAAAACACGGGUCUCCAUGAAGAGUGCGCCCGCUUACACACCCUUGGGAGAAGGUUACCUCACUGUCACUAGAUGAUUGUUGGAGCUUCAUCCAUCACUUUGGCUUGUAGACACGAGGAAGAAGGAAAGGAGGGAGAAGCAAGUCCUGAAGGAUCUUAGUGGGUGAAGGAAGAGAAGGUGAGCUUAGUGGGCCACCCUUCACAUGCAACUCAACACUGCCUGAACUUACAAGGCUGGUUAUCAAGACUGACAUUAAUUCAAAGGUCCCUUAGAAGCCACAUGCACUUCUAGCAAGACUGCCUUCUGCUCUGUUUCCAUGCCUGGAGGCAAUGGGGGCUGGCGAUCUGCAUGGUGCAAGUGCAAAAGAGACCACAGAUGGAAGCCUGCUGCUCAUACAGCUGUGUCUUUGUUGGGACAUCCAUCGGAGAACAUCUCUAACUCCUUGAACUGUUUGAACUGUUUCUGAAUACUCUUACCAGAAGCCACCUUGCUGGCAGUGAAUCCAACUUGCCUAAAAGAGGCAUACUUCAUGUCAUUUAAAAGUAUGGCCGGUAACUGAAACGUAGCCUGUACGGAACAGGUCUUCACUAGUGCCAAGGAAAGGGAAGGCAGUGAGGAUUUGAGCAGUGGCUGGGAAACGUACCGUAUCAGCAGAGCUAUAUGUUCCUGUGAGGUCUCCCCAGCUAACUCACCAAUAAUUCCAUGUAUGGAAGGAAGACAGAUAAGGGUAACUGGAUUUGGUGUAAGUAAUUGCAUUUCACUUUCUUCUCUGAGUCCCUCUCUAUCAGUUGGAUCCAAAUGAAUAUAAAGUCUGUGAAUUCAUUAGAAACCCCACGUGGUGGCCAUCUGUUAACAGAUAUAAUGAUUGGCUCACUCAGUGGUGUCAGUACGACCGUGGUCUCCAGAACAGCCGCUUCGGUAUCAUCCAAGAGCUGGUUAGGAAUUCAGAGUCUCAGGCCCCAUUUCACACCGACUGAGUCGUAAAGUCUUAGCCAUCAGUGUUGUAACAAACUCUGUGAGCAAUUCUGAUUCACACUAACAUUUGAGGACUCCUGCAUUACAUCUUUGCUACUCAAAGUGUCAUCAGCAGAAGCAUUGACAUCACCCAACGACUUGUACAACUGCAGAAUCUUGGACCCCAAGUCAGACCAACUGAAUCCAAUUCCGCAUUUUUAUAAAAUACCCAGAAUGUUCAUAUGUACAGUGAAGCUUGAGAAACCAUGCCCAGUAUCUGGUUCAACACUGCACAUUGGAAUCACCUGUGGUGUUUUUGUAACCAAACCAAAAACAAAACAUAGGAAGCCCCAGAGAUUUACAUUUACUUGAUAUGAGGAAUAGUCUGGGUAUUUGGACUCUUAAAGCUCCCCACAUUGUUCUCAUAUGCAGCAAAGUUUGAGAACCAUGGCCUUAUGUCAUACUAGCGCCUGGGAAACCAAAUAUUGUAUGUUUCAACUAUUUUAUGUUUUCAGAUGACCUAACUUCCACCAAGUAAUGGUAUUUGAAUAUGAUUUGGAAGGCAUGUGUGAAGCAGAGUCAGACUCUGUGUUAGCAUGCAGUUAUUACGUUUUUCCUGUGGAAGCAGUUAAGGGACCCCACUGUUCAUCUUUAAUUUCCCAGACAUCGAGAGGUGGGGGAUCCAUUUUCCUGGGGUGGAGCUGAGAAGAGAACAGUUGAAUUAGAGCUUGCAUUCAGAACAGAAGCUCCCUGAUUUCCUGGAUGCCUGGGGGUAGGGGUAGGGGAUGGGGAAUAGUUGUCCUGGUAAACAGCUUCGUUGGUGUCAUUCCACAAGUCACUCAUGCAAAUGUCAGCUUGGAGCCCUUCUACGCACUUUGUGACCAUGUAAUUCCUUUUAAAUCCUUUAACAGAAUUCACCAGCUAGAGUGGUUUCAUUAUCUGCUGGUGAAUUCUGACUGAUCCAUCCAUGUAAGGUAUAUAUUCAUCGUUGUGGCUGAAUUGAGCCAUGUUUUGUUUAACCUGAGCCCCUAUCUUUCAAUUUAAAAACUGGAUUUUUGUCCAUGAGGAAAAAAGAAGUUAAUCCUGAGAAAACUACUCUACAGUCCAAACUUAUGAUCCUAGUUAAGAACAGCUCUCUUUCUCAUUGUUACCCCCACCCUUCCUAUGCAUAUGCAUUCUUCCCAAGCUUGAGUGCUCAAGUCGUAUUUGUGAUGAUCAUAAAUGAUCAUAACAUCUUGUGUACUGACACUUGCCCCAUCCAUGUCUCAAAAUCCCUUCCCAUUUGGAAAGGCAAGAGUGAUUCCUCUACUGCCUGGCCAAUAAAUAAGAAACAAUUUUUUUUUUUCAUUUCUUUCAGGAGUCAAAACCAAACAAGAGUUUUAUCAUAUAAUUUCAUAGAUUGGCUUAUAGCUACCAAAGAAAGAAAGAGAACCAAAUGUACUAAGAAACACAAUUUUGUUUUCACAUCAUAUUUGUGAUGACUACAGUUUUUUAUAUUAGGCAUCUCUGAUUUUUCAGGAGUAUUUUCUACACACAAAGGGUUACAAUUGCUUUUGGUGUUGGAAACUGAUGGUCCAGCCAGGGGACAGAUGGGAAGAUAAAAAGCAGGAAAAGGGGAGGGUGAAGAAGAGGAAGUGCCCAGCAUGGCCAAAGCGGCCACAGAUUCCCUGCACAUGUAAGAUUGAAGUUGCUUCGAGGUCCCUACCCCGCGUUUUAAAUAUAAUUUUGAAUUUUCCAAGUGUUUUUUUCCAAGUGUUUUUAGACCUUCUAGGUUGGUAGUUGGAAGAUAUUAAACCUUUCCCCAGAAGCUGUUGAGAUGGCGUCUCGUACAGAGGGAUGAAUGGCCAUUCUCUAUAGGAUUUUUACACAGUGACUUUUAUUCUAAGGAAGCAGAGUAGCCAGAGUCUCCAUCCUCCACAAGACCAUCUCAAGUGCUUUUUGUAGAUUAUCUCAUUGCCUUUCCCAAAACGGGUUCUAUUUAGCAGAGCAGGGGGGGUCAUGACAGUUUUUUUUCUUUUUUUCUUUUUUAACUUGGGCUCUCCAACUAAGGAGGUUUCCUUCCUCAUUACCUUUGAUCUUUCUUUGAAAAUCAUCUCAAAGAGUAGCCCCCAGUAUACAGCAGCUUCACUCCCAGAUGGUGCGGGGAUAUGUACAGUUAGGCUUGCACUUUCAAGGGAGGUGGAAGGAGAGACCUGGCAGCCUAAACUAGACCAAGACAAAUGUGAUCUUUGUGAAAGCAGGAACAUUAAAGAUUAUCUUCAUAUACAGUGAGCCGAACCUAAAUCCCACAUGGAGAUUGAUAGACUUAGAGACACAAGCUUUGUUUACACCCUCCUUCCUAUUCAGUGUGUGUUUAUCAUGUUUAAUUUAUUGCUGGUUUUAUGCAUUUUUCUUUCACUGGUUAUGGAGGUUUGUGGCUUGCCUUUUAACUUUGCAAAAGUUUGGUACAAUGGAAAUUUAGAACACCAAAACAUUUUCCAAACAAUUGCAAAAUGAACUAUGUCCCCAACUAAUUUGAUUUGGAGGAAAGAAAGAACAAAGUCUUGUUAACAGAGAGCCCUAAAAUAUAAUUACUCACACGUGCAAACAUGUUUAAGUGUGGGUUCUCAGCGAAUGCUUAUCAUGCAGCACUUUCUUGCUCUAACUGUUGCCCAUUAAAAACCUCCUGUGCCAUAUGCAGGUGUGAUUAUACAGCCAACUGCCAAUUCUCACUGGCUCAAGGAUCCUUUUGAAAAUGUCCAGAUGGAUAUGAAUGUCGGAUUUGGCAGUUAAAUUAUAGAGCCCAAUAUAUCUCUUCUAAGUACUAAGGCACUGAAGCACAGUAUCGAUGUUUUCCCCCACUCCUAACUAGAUUUCAAAAGAACAGUUUGGUUUUUUUAAGCUGGGAAUUAUAUUUCCUCAUUUCUUCUGAAUCUCGGGAUAAACUUUGUUAUGGCUUUUAUCACUUUUCUUCAGUCCACAUAUCUUAGGAACAACAUCAAAAGCUUUUUUUUUUUUUUUUGGUAAGCCAAAAGUCAGUCAGAAAUUGGCUUUUGAGGUGACCGGGUGUAUUUAAACAAGUGCAGAGAGAAGGGGGGAAUAAAGCAGUGGUAUUAUAGCUCCCCAGAGCCUGCCAUCUGCCCUCCAGAGAAAUGAAAUGGUUUACGGGAGAAGGACAUGAGAACAGAGUGACAGAAAGGCAUCUCCUUGGUUCUUGACGAUAUGAAUCACAAAUGCAAACAUCUGUCACCCCCAGGAAAACAAGGUUCAGCAGCAGGUUGUUAUCAGCUGCUGUGGGAAUGCGCCACAAAUGUCGUCGUUACAAUUUCUCCUUGCCCAGAUUGGAAGUCCUCAGUGGUAGUCCAGAAACUCUGGGGAAUUGGUCAUCUUUUCACAUAAUUCGUGUGACUGAUGGGAUGUGGAUUUGCUUCAUCUAAUGUGCUGUGCAUCCCCAGAGCAGUGCUUAAGGUAGGAUUGUUGAGUGCGGUGCUGUCCCAUGAUAGACCCAGUGCAGCAUACGUAGGGGACAUGGCAAGAGGAGGCAUGAGGAGUUUUAAAGAGCAAGGCAUGGGGAGUGGGGGGAAGAAAGGACAUGGUGCGUAUUUUUUUUGUUUAUUUAUUAUUUGUGAGAGAGAGAAAGAGUGGGGAGGGGCAGAGAGGGGAAGACAGAGG